CGCGGCCUAUCAGCUUGUUGGUGGGGUAAUGGCCUACCAAGGCGACGACGGGUAGCCGGCCUGAGAGGGCGACCGGCCACACUGGGACUGAGACACGGCCCAGACUCCUACGGGAGGCAGCAGUGGGGAAUAUUGCACAAUGGGCGAAAGCCUGAUGCAGCGAGGCCGCGUGAGGGAUGACGGCCUUCGGGUUGUAAACCUCUUUCAGCAGGGAAGAAGCGAAAGUGACGGUACCUGCAGAAGAAGCGCCGGCUAACUACGUGCCAGCAGCCGCGGUAAUACGUAGGGCGCAAGCGUUGUCCGGAAUUAUUGGGCGUAAAGAGCUCGUAGGCGGCUUGUCACGUCGGGUGUGAAAGCCCGGGGCUUAACCCCGGGUCUGCAUCCGAUACGGGCAGGCUAGAGUGUGGUAGGGGAGAUCGGAAUUCCUGGUGUAGCGGUGAAAUGCGCAGGUAUCAGGAGGAACACCGGUGGCGAAGGCGGAUCUCUGGGCCAUUACUGACGCUGAGGAGCGAAAGCGUGGGGAGCGAACAGGAUUAGAUACCCUGGUAGUCCACGCCGUAAACGUUGGGAACUAGGUGUUGGCGACAUUCCACGUCGUCGGUGCCGCAGCUAACGCAUUAAGUUCCCCGCCUGGGGAGUACGG
rnacentral:rRNA from 1 species